UAACCCGAUAGGCAAUGAGCCUAGUCCGUCUACCUCUAACUCAUCUCCAUCUUGGCUCUCAAACCCUACUUCUCUAGAAACACUCCCUUCUCUUCCCAAAACUGACCCUUCCUCAACUGCGGUCGUCUCUCAACCAGUCAAUUCCAUUUCUUCGAAUCACCCAAUGCUCACAAGCCUUUGCAACAAUAUUUGGUGUCCUAAAGUUUGCAGUCAUUGUACGGUUUCUUGGCCCUCAACUCACUUAUCGCUUUCCCUCACUGAGUCAAAAAUUUCUCAAAUUUCUGAGGAACCUGUGUCAUAUACUGAGGCUGCCAAAUAUUCUGAAUGGAGAGAUCCAAUGAAGCUUGAAUUUUAAGCCUUAUUGCAUAACUCCACUUGGGAACUCAUUCCCCCAUCCCCUGUGUUUAAUGUUCUUGGCCCCAAAUGGAUUUUAAAAACCAAGAGCCGUGCUGAUGGUACUCUAGAAAGGCGCAAGGGUCAUCUUGUUGCUAAAGGGUUCCAUUUGCAGCCUGGGGUAGACUACAUAAAAAAUUCUCUCCGGUUGUAAAACUAGUAACAAUUAAUCUACUCGUUUCCUUAGCUUUGUCCUCUAACUGGCCUCUUCAUCAAUUGGACAUCCAAAAUACAUUCCUACAUAGUGAUUUGGAGGAGGCAGUUUACAUGCAUCAACCUCAUGGGUUUGUAAAUUCGGAUUUUCCCACAUAUGUGUGCAAGCUCAAAAAUGACAUCUAUGGUCUUAAACAGAUGCCUAGGGCCUCAUUCUCCAAGCUAAGUACUCAACUUCUUAAUCUUGGUUUUCAAGAAUCUAGGUCAGAUUCAUCUUUGUUUAUAUUUCAAAACUCUGAGCAUGUUUUAUUUGUUUUAGUGUAUGGGGAUGACAUAAUUGUAACUAGGUUUAAUACUGAUCUUAUUACUGAAUUUAUAUUCACACUUGGUCAACAUUUCCCUGUCAAAGAUCUCGGUCAGCUUCAUUUUUUUUUUUCUGGGAAGUCAAGUGCACCGAAACUCACAUGGUCUUUAUUUGAGUCAAGCUAAAUAUAUAUCUUACUUGUUGCAUCGCACAAAUAUGCAUAAUGCCAAAACAAUUUCCACUCCCAUGUCCACUUCCACAAAACUCACUGCAUUUGAUGGAACCUCUUUUGAGGAUCCACAACUCUAUCGUAGUAUUGUAAGAAGUUUGUAGUAUUUAGCUUUUACUCAUCCAGAUAUUUCUUAUUCUGUAAAUAAAUUUUUUCAAUUCAUGCAUUAUCCCAAAAAUUCACUGGUAAGCUGUCAAGCGUAUUUUACACUAUUUGCAUCUUACUUCUCAUUUUGGUCUUAGCUUUUCCAAUAAAUCGUUGCCAACACUUACUGCCUACUCUGAUACUGACUGGAUUGGUUGUCCUGGUGAUAGAAAAUCCACUGGAGGUUUCUGUGUCUACUUUGGUUCACACAUUAUUUCAUGGGGAUCCAAAAAGCAACCAACAGUUGUUCGUUCAUCCACUGACGCCAAGUACAAAGCAAUGGCUAACAUUGCAUGUGAACUCAUUUGGAAACAGUAUCUUCUAAAGGAAAUUGGUAUUAUUAUGAAAAAUCCACCUACUUUGUGGUGUGACAACCUGGGCACUACGUAUAUUUCGUGGCCUGUUGAGGAAAGAGCAUUACCCAAAAUUGAAAACACACCCAAAGGUGGGGCAACCGAGCAACACGCUGUCACGGCAAAUGAGGAAAAAGUGACAAGCCCUCAGAAGGUUUUGGAAGUCUGGCGCACCAGAAUGUGGAAUGCACUAUCAAAAGGAAUAUUUUUCCAUAACAGAAAUGUAUACGUGUCUCAAUAUAAAUGGAAGAUUGUGAUUCUCUCUAUUUAUAUAUUCAUGUAAUGAAGGCAAGAUAUGUACAUUGAACAAUACAGAAAAUACAAAGUAUGCCCUCUGAGGCAAUUCUUCUAA